CAAGAUUUAAGACAAUGUUCUUAAACUUUGUGAUGUCGGUCAUCAUGCCUUGUCUCCAAGAUUUAAGACAAAAUUCUUAAGCUUUGUUUUUUCGGCAGCACUCUUUCCCUCCUGUGUUGUUGCCAUUUAGUCCUCCUUUGCUGUUUAGUGUGUGAGAAUUCUGGGCAGCUAAUUACCCUGCCCAUCUAUCACAGCACUGCUGAUCUGUCCCCAGGGAGCAUCUUUCUGAUAUAACUGCUGCUGUGCAGUCAACUGCUGAGAGCUGAGGUGAUGAGGAGGGAGGCUUGUGUCUGUUUGAUCUGUAAGUAAGUGAGGUCACUCAGUUGUGUCCGACUCUUUGUGACCCCAUGGACUGUACCCUGCCAGGCUCCUCCGUCCAUGGGAUUUUCCAGGCAAGAAUACUGGAGUGGGUUGCCAUUUCCUUCUCCAGGGGAUCUUUCCCACCCAGGGAUUGAACCCUGGUCUCCCGCAUUGCAGGCAGACUCUUUACCAUCUGAGCCACCAGGGAAGAACAAAGUGAAAGUUGCUCAGCUGUGUCCGACUCUUUGUGACCCCAUGGACUAUACAGUCCAUGAAAUUCUCCAGGCCAGAGUGCUGGGGUGGGUAGCCUUUCCCUUCUCCAGCAGAUCUUCCUAACCCAGGAAUCGAACUGCGGUCUCCUGUAUUACAGGCGGAUUCUUUACCAACUGAGCUAUCAGCGAAGCCCUGUUUGAUCUGGCAGUCACUAAAAUUCUGGUUUUACAUUGCUAUUUUCCUUAUUUUUAAGCACUUAGGAGCCAGAUUCUUCCAGAUAAACUUAGAGUGCCUAAAUUUUGCCCAGAUAGGUGCAGAUGGGGGUAGUUUUUUAAAAAGUACUCUUCCAUAGAUAGUCAACUGGCAGAACCUGUUUUUUUAGGAGGCCAACUGAGAUCAGAAAGUUAUGAUUUUAUUGGGGUCAGUUUCAGGUCAUGGACAAAGCAGAAUUCCUUGCCCAGGGUUUCCUGAGACCCAUCAGACACUUCAGGGUUUCAAAAAGUCAAAUGGGAGAAGCACAUUUGUCCCAAAAAAACCUGCUGAGACCAAGGAAAUCAUCAAGUUUCUUUGUUUCAGACUCAGCUUGUGUCAGCUGAUUGUGAUAACAAUGACAGUCUUAUGCUGGUCAGAACCUCAUUUUGAAAAAAUUAUUUAUUUUUAAUUGAAGGAUAAUUGGUUUACAAUAUUGCUUUGGCUUUUGCCAUACAUCAAUAUGAAUUAGCCAUAGGUAUACACGUAUUCCUCUCCCUCUUGAAUCUCCCUCCCACCUUUUCGCACCCCUCUAGGUUGUUACAGAGCCUCUGAUUGGCAGCAACAUCCUUGUCCAUUUGACGAAAGUUUCAUGAAAGUGAGUCGCUCAGUUGUGUCUGACUCUUUACAACCCCAUGAACUAUACUGUCCAUGGAAUUCUCCAGGACGGAAUACUGGAGUGGGUAGCCUUUCCCUUCUUCAGGGGAUCUUUCCAACCCAGGGAUCGAACCCAAGUCUCCUGUAUUACAGGCAGAUUCUUUACCAACUGAGCCAUAAGGGAAGCCCUGUCCACUUGAUAACAAACAAGAACACAAAUUCUUAGUGAAAUUUGGCUGUCAACAGAUUUCAAAAUUUGGGGGUCAUGGCAGGGGUAAACAAAUAAAAAGGCACUAGAUGUAAAAGAAUUUAGAAACGGUGGCUUUGGCUAAAUUAAGGAGAACUGUUAUUUUACUGUGCUAAUGAAUGCUGGGAUGAAGAGAGAAUUGUGUGGACAGUGAAAAAUCUAUAGGUAAGAAUUCUAAUGAAUUCUCAGAAUUCUACUUACACCAGUAGAAAUAAAUGUAGAAAGUCUGGUGGGCUACAGUCCACGGGGUCGCAAAGAGUCGGACAAACUACUACACAACUAAGCAGGCGCGCACGCACACACACUCCACUUAGUGGCUCAUUUAGUUACAGCAAACAAAUAGAACCAAGAGAUUCAAUUCUUACUCACCCUGCCCAGAAGUGACACGUGUUAUUUUUGGUCACAGUUUAUUGCUGAUAACUAGUUAAACAGUCUCAGUUCCACCUAGAUGCAGGAUGUGUGUGUAUGUGGCCACAUACACAUUUCCUGAAAAAUAUCAAUAUAAUCCCUGGUUGGGCCACCACUUUAAGCAGCAACUCUAUAUGGCAGAAAAAGCACGUCUUUGGUAGGGAGGCAGCUAUCACUGACAUGAAGAAACAAGAAAAUGAGUCAUUGCAGAGUUGAGUGGUAACUCAAGUGACUCAGAUUAAGAGUUUGAGGAGACUUCCCUGGCAGUUCAGUGGUUAAGACUUCAUGCUUCCAAUGCAGAGGCUGUGGCUUCCAUCCCUGGUCUGGGAAGUUAGAUCCCAGGUGCUGUGUGGCACAAAAAAAAAAAAGAAAAAAAGAAAAGAAAAAAAAAAGGAGUUCCUGAUCUGAAAGAAAUGGAAGCCCAUUACAGGGAGGUUUCUGGAGUCCAGGACAUAGAGACUACUUCUUGAAGGUAUUGUGGUUAGCUGAAGGCAAUAUGAUAUCAAGGAUUCUAGUCUGGGUACAGAAAGUUUGGGUCCUGAAGUACAGACCAGGAUGAAGUUUACACACUGAGAAAUUAAAGAGAUGGAGAUCAGCAUAGAGGAUAAAGAAGUGUCAACAGAAGUUUCCAAAAUGGUUACUGGCAACUCUAGCUGACCUGAUAAAGCAGAGGCACACCAGUAAACAAACAGACUGAGUAGAGCGACAGAUAUUGGAUAGCAGAACCAGGCUUACAAGUUGGAACAGUCUGGCUCACACCCCAUUUACAAUAUCUUAAGCUUGACCAUUUACAAUAUCUUAAGCAAAUGGCUUAAACUCUUUGAGCCUCAGUUUCCUCACUCGUAAAAGAGAAUUGUUAAUACCCGCCCCACUAGGUGGUUGCAAGAAUUAAAUUUGGCCUCCAUGCUGGUCUUCAAGCAGGUCAAGCGUGUCUCUGCCUAAUGAUUUG
ensembl:lncRNA